rnacentral:rRNA from 1 species
GAUGAACGCUGGCGGCGUGCCUAAUACAUGCAAGUCGAGCGAACAGACGAGGAGCUUGCUCCUCUGACGUUAGCGGCGGACGGGUGAGUAACACGUGGAUAACCUACCUAUAAGACUGGGAUAACUUCGGGAAACCGGAGCUAAUACCGGAUAACAUGUUGAACCGCAUGGUUCAACAGUGAAAGACGGUCUUGCUGUCACUUAUAGAUGGAUCCGCGCCGCAUAGGCAGUUGGUAAGGUAACGGCUUACCAAAGCAACGAUGCGGAGCCGACCUGAGAGGGUGAUCGGCCACACUGUAACGGAGACACGGUCCAGACUCCUACGGGAGGCAGCAGUAGGGAAUCUUCCGCAAUGGGCGAAAGCCUGACGGAGCAACGCCGCGUGAGUGAUGAAGGUCUUCGGAUCGUAAAACUCUGUUAUUAGGGAAGAACAAAUGUGUAAGUAACUAUGCACGUCUUGACGGUACCUAAUCAGAAAGCCACGGCUAACUACGUG